AUAGAUCCACUGAAAUGGUGUCUCAGAAGCUUGUCUUCUGUAUAAGUACCUGACAGGAAAAGAUGAAAGCCAAGCAGAGGUUUACUGUUCCUAGGGAAGUUUGAAGCAUGAUUAGGUGAUUAUUUUACUUACACUUUUCUCUUACAAAGAUUAUUUACUUGGUUAUCUUUUUGUUUGUUUCUUUGUUGGGAUUAGAUGUCUGCACAUCCCUCGUCUUGGUGUGGAGACAGUCUGUAAAGAUGGAGCCUUGCAUAGCAUCCUCUGGAUGCCAUAUAUAAGCUCAGACAGAUAUUGAGAGAAAAGUUGAAAGACAGCAUCUACAUUUUCUGUACAUUCCCUCCCUCUCUGGCUGCUGCUGGCAUGAUCACACUUCCAAAGCUCUUGGUCCACCUUGCUGUACUCUAUAUGCAGAAGUUCAGAGAGUUAAUGUUUUUCCAGCAUCCAGCUGCUGCAUAACUAAGGAAAAAGAAGUAAUCUAGCAGAUUUCUGGACAGCUAGCAGCAUUUCUAUGCAAAAGUGAUCAUGCAGGUCAGUCAGUCUCACCUCAGUGCUUGGCAAAUGCAUGGAGCAGACCCUCCUGAAAACUAUAUGAAGGCACAUGGAAAACAAAAAGGAUUGGAUAAGAGAAGAUCAACUGAUGCCAUCUACCUGGACUUGUGCAAAACAUUUGACACUGUCCCACAUGACAUCCUUGUCUUUAAAGGAUUUCAGAAGGUGAAUAAUCACCUUCAUCCAAUUGCUGCAUGAAAUAGUCAACAGAAAUUUUCAUCAGAAAAAUCGAUUGAAAAUUCUUAUGUAAAGGUGGUACAUAUUAGCCAAAGGAAUGUCUUUAUUGUAAGUUGGAGCUAAUGAACAAGUAUCACAGUAAACUGAGCAAUGUACAUACCAU
ensembl:lncRNA